rnacentral:rRNA from 1 species
GACGAACGCUGGCGGCGUGCCUAAUACAUGCAAGUUGAGCGCUGAAGGUUGGUACUUGUACCCACUGGAUGAGCAGCGAACGGGUGAGUAACGCGUGGGGAAUCUGCCUUUGAGCGGGGGACAACAUUUGGAAACGAAUGCUAAUACCGCAUAAAAACUUUAAACACAAGUUUCAAGUUUGAAAGAUGCAAUUGCAUCACUCAAAGAUGAUCCCGCGUUGUAUUAGCUAGUUGGUGAGGUAAAGGCUCACCAAGGCGAGGAUACAUAGCCGACCUGAGAGGGUGAGCUGCCACAUUGGGACUGGGACACGGCCCAAACUCCUACGGGAGGCAGCAGUAGGGAAUCUUCGGGAAUGGACGAAAGUCUGAACGAGCAACACCGCGUGAGUGAAGAAGGGUUUCGGGUCGUAAAACUCUGUUGGUAGGGAAGAACGUUGGUGAGAGUGGAAAGCUCAUCAAGUGACGGUAACUACCCAGAAAGGGACGGCUAACUACGUG